rnacentral:rRNA from 1 species
CAUAGACAGUCCACAUACCCCACUGUCCGCCCGGGGACUACGAGCAUUAGCUUAAAACCCAAAGGACUUGGCGGUGCUUUAUACCCACCUAGAGGAGCCUGUUCUAGAACCGAUAACCCCCGUUCAACCUCACCCUUCCUUGUUCUUCCCGCCUAUAUACCGCCGUCGUCAGUUUACCCUGUGAAGGCCCAAUAGUAAGCAAAAUCGGCACAGCCCAAAACGUCAGGUCGAGGUGUAGCGUAUGGAAGGGGAAGAAAUGGGCUACAUUCCCUAUCAUAGGGCAUACGGAUGAUUACGCUGAAACGCAUAUCUGAAGGAGGAUUUAGCAGUAAGCAGAAA